rnacentral:rRNA from 1 species
AACGAACGCUGGCGGCAGGCCUAACACAUGCAAGUCGAACGAUCCUUCGGGAUAGUGGCAGACGGGUGAGUAACGCGUGGGAACCUACCUUGGGGUUUGGAAUAACUGACGGAAACGGCAGCUAAUACCAAAUACGUCCUUCGGGAGAAAGAUUUAUCGCCCCUAGAUGGGCCCGCGUUGGAUUAGCUUGUUGGUGAGGUAAUGGCUCACCAAGGCUACGAUCUAUAGCUGGUCUGAGAGGAUGAUCAGCCACACUGGGACUGAGACACGGCCCAG